rnacentral:rRNA from 1 species
GAUGAACGCUAGCGGCAGGCCUAAUACAUGCAAGUCGAACGGAUAUAUGUUUUUCGGAAUAUAUAUUAGUGGCGCACGGGUGAGUAACACGUACAUAACUUGCCCUCAAGCGGGGGAUAGCCUUGGGAAACUGAGAGUAAUACCCCAUAGAAUUAUUGGACGGCAUCGUUUGAUAAUUAAAACUACGGUGCUUGGGGAUAGAUGUGCGUCUGAUUAGCUAGUUGGUGAGGUAACUGCUCACCAAGGCGACGAUCAGUAGGGGGCGUGAGAGCGUGGCCCCCCACACGGGUACUGAGACACGGACCCGACUCCUACGGGAGGCAGCAGUAAGGAAUAUUGGUCAAUGGAGGGAACUCUGAACCAGCCAUGCCGCGUGAAGGAUGACGGCCCUCUGGUUGUAAACUUCUUUUGGAUGGGGCGAAAAACGGAGUUUAUCCUGGACUGACGGUACCAUCAGAAUAAGCACCGCGUAACUCCGUGCCAGCAGCCGCGGUAAACGUAGCGUG